rnacentral:rRNA from 1 species
UGGGGAAUAUUGGACAAUGGGCGAAAGCCUGAUCCAGCCAUGCCGCGUGUGUGAAGAAGGUCUUCGGAUUGUAAAGCACUUUAAGUUGGGAGGAAGGGCAGUUACCUAAUACGUGAUUGUCUUGGCGUUACCGACAGAAUAAGCACCGGCUAACUCUGUGCCAGCAGCCGCGGUAAUACAGAGGGUGCAAGCGUUAAUCGGAAUUACUGGGCGUAAAGCGCGCGUAGGUGGUUUGUUAAGUUGGAUGUGAAAUCCCCGGGCUCAACCUGGGAACUGCAUUCAAAACUGUCAAGCUAGAGUAUGGUAGAGGGUGGUGGAAUUUCCUGUGUAGCGGUGAAAUGCGUAGAUAUAGGAAGGAACACCAGUGGCGAAGGCGACCACCUGGACUGAUACUGACACUGAGGUGCGAAAAGCGUGGGGAGCAGACAGGAUUAGAUACCCUGGUAGUCCACGCCGUAAACGAUGUCAACUAGCCGUUGGGAGCCUUGAGCUCUUAGUGGCGCAGCUAACGCAUUAAGUUGACCGCCUGGGGAGU